CGCCCUUAGAGUUUGAUCAUGGCUCAGAUUGAACGCUGGCGGCAGGCUUAACACAUGCAAGUCGAACGGUAUAGGUGCUUGCACCUGACGAGUGGCGGACGGGUGAGUAAUGUAUGGGGAUCUGCCGAAUGGAUUGGGACAACCACUGGAAACGGUGGCUAAUACCGAAUAAUGUUGAGAGACCAAAGUGUUUCGACAUGCCAUUUGAUGAACCCAUAUGGGAUUAGCUAGUAGGCGGGGUAAUGGCCCACCUAGGCGACGAUCUCUAGCUGGUCUGAGAGGAUGACCAGCCACACUGGGACUGAGACACGGCCCAGACUCCUACGGGAGGCAGCAGUGGGGAAUAUUGCACAAUGGGGGAAACCCUGAUGCAGCCAUGCCGCGUGUAUGAAGAAGGCCUUCGGGUUGUAAAGUACUUUCGGUAGUGAGGAAGGUUACUAUUAACAUAGUAAAUUGACGUUAAUUACAGAAGAAGCACCGGCUAACUCCGUGCCAGCAGCCGCGGUAAUACGGAGGGUGCGAGCGUUAAUCGGAAUGACUGGGCGUAAAGGGCAUGUAGGUGGAUAAUUAAGUUAGGUGUGAAAGCCCCGAGCUCAACUUGGGAAUUGCACUUAAAACUGGUUAUCUAGAGUAUUGUAGAGGAAAGGUAAAUUCCACGUGUAGCGGUGAAAUGCGUAGAGAUGUGGAGGAACCGGU
rnacentral:rRNA from 1 species